rnacentral:rRNA from 1 species
AAUGAACGUUGGCGGCGUGGAUCAGGCAUGCAAGUCGAGCGAGAACCGGUUUCGGCCGGGGACAGCGGCGAACGGCGUAGUAAUGCAUCGGAACGUACCCUCUGGUCGGGGAUAGCUACGGGAAACUGUAGGUAAUACCCGAUGAGCUCUGCGGAGCAAAGGUAAGAUUCCGCCGGAGGAGCGGCUGAUGUGAUAUUAGCUAGUUGGUGGGGUAAUGGCCUACCAAGGCGAUGAUGUCUAGGGGGUGUGAGAGCAUGGCCCCCACGACCGGAACUGAGAUACUGUCCGGACACCUACGGGUGGCUGCAGUCGAGAAUCUUCCGCAAUGGACGAAAGUCUGACGGAGCGACGCCGCGUGCGGGAUGAAGGCCCUUGGGUUGUAAACCGCUGUCAGAGGGGAUGAAAUCUUCGGAGGUACUCCUCCGAAGUUGACAGAGCCUCAAAGGAAGCACGGGCUAAGUACGUGCCAGCAGCCGCCGUAA